GAUCCAGGUGACAUAAUCACAAACAUCGAUCAAGUGGACGAGGGCUGGUGGCAAGGUCUAGCUCCCAACGGUACUUACGGGCUCUUCCCAGCCAAUUACGUUGAAUUAAUGCAAUAAUUAUGACGCUUGUGCUUGUUCAGUUGCUCAGUUGCAUUUAAUCAAAUUUUUUGACGCAAUAAUUUGUCGAUAUAGGUUAAGUUGAUUUUGAUACCAAAAUUCUAACUUUUAAGUAUAUUCUGGCAUGGCACACUGCUAAAAGUAUUAAUUGAGCACUCAUGCGAUCAUACGUUUUCUUAAAAAGCAACGCAGUGUUUUUGAAUUAUUUAUUAAUAUAGUGAAACUGUCACACGAUGUUUUGGAAGUGUCUGUGUUCACGUCACAAUAAUGCAUGAAUUGACACGUCACGAACUUGACGUUUUAGACAGAAUUUUGGCAACUCUGACACCCCAUAGCGAUCACUUUAGAUGCCUUUGACACUCACGUUUGAAUCACCCCUUGCCUUACACUAUUGUGCAAAAUUUUGUCAAGAACACCCAGAGGUGCUAAGUUAGAGUAAAUGUCGCCAAAGUGUGUCAUAACGAAAUUCGACUUUAAGUAUGCUUUGAUUUAGAAGUAUUUUCGUACGUUGCUUGGUGCCUCCAGAAGUGUCUAGUGUUCCCUUCGCUUUCGCGCCUACUUCGUUCGUUUUAAGUUGCAGCACUGCCAUUCCUAUUUCUGUGCCAACCUUCUCAAGCCAAAACCCUAGCCGGCGGUUUUGUCGACGACUAAUUUCGCUGUUUGUUACUGUGAAUUGAACUAGAUAUAAAAUUUAAAAAUAGUUAUACCGUUGAUAAAUCAUAAUUUUUAUAUAUUAUUAUACAUUAUACUUACGUUACGAGGUAUGAUAUACAUUUACAUAUACAUAAAGAUUGUUAGUUAAGAAACGACUUUAGCACAAAUUAACUUUCCACAAGACUUACGAUCGUUUGCACCCUUUAUAUAAAUCUUUACUUUGUGAUAUGCCUUUUUCUUGAAAUCAAUACUCCCUAGCUUUGAACCAGCAGGCCCAGAAUAGAGGUUAGUUUUUCAAAACUAAAAAAUGACAAUUGACGACGUGAAGAAAAAAUUAGAAGGUUAUAUGAAGAACUGGUAGAGAGAACCAACAACCAAUAGGU